UACGGAGGGUGCAAGCGUUAAUCGGAAUUACUGGGCGUAAAGCGCGCGUAGGCGGUCUUGCAAGUAGACUGUGAAAUCCCCGGGCUUAACCUGGGAACUGCAGUCUAAACUGCUUGACUAGAGAUCGGUAGAGGGAGGUGGAAUUCCUAGUGUAGCGGUGAAAUGCGUAGAGAUUAGGAAGAACAUCAGUGGCGAAGGCGACCUCCUGGACUGUGUCUGACGCUGAGGUGCGAAAGCGUGGGUAGCGAACAGG
rnacentral:misc_RNA from 1 species